AACAUGAAUACGGUACUCCUUUUCCUCCUGCGGUCAAUACCAGCUAAGAAGGGAAUGGGGGGACGGCAGGGUUUCAUAAAUAACACAAAAUGUAUUUUCCUUAGUUUUACCAUACAAUAAUAAUAGAGGUGAGUUUUAAAGUAGUGUGUAUAAUAUCUUCUAAUUACAUCAUACAACUUUGUGGACAAAGGUACAUGUUUUGCGGUAACCCUCUCACCCCCACCCCCCUCAAGUCAUUUGGUUGCGCCUGUCCUGACGGUUGGAAAGAGAGGGAAAAGCAGCAGCCACUUUGAACCAGACCCUUCUGAUAGCCUGUUCGAAACGGAUAGCCUCGAUAGAUGUAUAGAAAACCAAACCAAGAUGCUGUCUGCCAGAUCCUUGACCUCGGAUUUCAGUCAAGAAAAGCCUUCAUUGACAGUGAUGUCGUAAAAGAAGAUGAUAGACCUACAAGGAUUCUGGAGGCAUAUCCAUGUUUUAAGGAGCUUCAUCAUGUGAUGGAGGAGCUGCUGUGGAUCCAGGAUAUAGGAAACGGCAAAUUCAGAUGUCAAGUACAGGACAGAUGGGAAGACUUCUGGUCACUAGUGCAGUUUUAGAGUUUGGAAAAAAGUGUUGAAGCCUCCCAUGAGCUUAAGUGGAGUUGAACACAACGUUGCACUCUUCAGAGCACUCCCAACACUUUUCCCAUCUCCAACUUCACCCCUUAAGAAACUGGCACAUGCUAGUGAAGCAUUGCUGCAUGUUCUAGAGCCAACAGAUGAUCCUGCCAUAUACCUGGAGAAGAGAUCUUUCUCCAGCCCGGUGUUGCUCUUUGAUGGGUCCUGCUGUCUCGUGGCAAGUGGAGCAACUCCCAUCACCACCUUUGCCAAAGAAGAUCUUGGCCAUAGGUUGUUUUAUCUGUUGGCUUACCACUACACCUUCCAACUUACCCAUCCCAAGUUUGUGGCAACCCUACUUUAUGUCAGUCAGACAGAAAUAUUGAAGGACAAUAUUCACGAGCGGGACACCACAAGUUCAUAAAAAAAAGUUUUGGCAGAGUGAAACGUUUUUACUGAGUGGUAGAGCUCUCACGGUGAGAAAUGAAUGCCUUGUUUGGUGAUGUUAACCAGAGACACUCUUUUUCUUAUUUCUCUUAACCUCAGAUUAUUUACUAGUAUGGCCUGCAUCAGCGUACAUUAAGAUUUAGCUGUAAACCUAUGUUAAAUUUUAUGUUGAAAUGCUUCAAGCAGUUCUUUGUAUUUGUAGAAGCAGAAGUAUUCUAUGUUAACAGUGUAUUCAAAGCAAUUUUGAAAAAAGCAAUAUAAAUAAAUAUUGUUAAGUAUA